AGCAUUAAAUCUACUGAAGAUAUCCACAUCCUUAGACAGAUGCAAAAAAUACUCUUUUGCAACCCAGAGCUCAUUGUGCAGUAUGAGCUUUGAUACAUAUAAGAAGGAAUAUU
ensembl:snoRNA